GGAGACGGGGUUUCACCAUGUUGGCCAGGAUGGUCUCCAUCUCUUGACCUCCUGAUCCACCCGCCUCAACCUCCCAAAGUGCUGGGAUUACAGGUGUGAGACCCAGCUACUUGGGGUGCUAAGGUGGGAGGAUCGCUUGAGCCCCUGAAGUUGGGACUGGAGUGAGCUGAGAUUGCACCAAUGUACUCCAGCCUGGGCAACAGAGUGAGACCCUGUCUAAAAAAAAAAAAAAAAAGAAAGAAACGAAACCAGAAACAAAGAAGCAAAUACUGCUGAAAUAAAUAAAUAAAAAUAAAAUUUUUUAAAAAAGAAGCAAAUAUUGUACAAUUCCAUGCCUAUGAGAUUCUAGAAAAGAUAAAACUUAUACAGGGCAGAGAGCAGAUAGUGCUUGCCAGGACCUAGGGAGCAGCUGGUGAGAUUUACUGCAAAGGAACAAAUGAGGAUCUUUUGGGGGUGCUAGAAAUGUGCCCUAUCUUGAUUAUGGUGAUGGUUCUGGGACUGUAUAUAAUUCCCCAAACUUAUAACACCCUAGAAAACAAAUGUAUUUC
rnacentral:lncRNA from 10 species